CACAACUCUGCGGGAGAGAUUGGCUGUCUGUACGCAGACGCGCCAACGCCGAAGGCGCAAACCGCCCGGAAUCGCUCAGGCAAAAGGACCGCGGAAUUGGC
rfam:Solemya velum gill symbiont strain WH SV_sym_Scaffold_1, whole genome shotgun sequence.